AGUGCUUGCAAUAAAAAAAACAUUAUGAAAUAUUAUUAUUUGAAGCUUUUUUUUUGAUAGUCCUUAAUAAAAUAAUGUAUUAAUACUAAUAUAUUUUAUAGAUAAGUGCAUCAUAAAAAUAAUAAAUAAAAUAUACAUUAAGUAUAUAUAUUUAUAUUGAACAAAAAAAAAUACAAUAAAAAAAAUCUUCAUAGGUACAUUUGUAAAUAUUAUGUAAUUUUUUUUUGCGCUUAAACGGAUUGUCUACUUUUCACCGACAAUCGAAACCUGUUUAAUUUAGUUUUGUAUUUACAUUGAUUAGUUUCUUUUCUUUUCUUUCUUCGUUAUUUUCUAUUACUAUGUUAAUUAUUUUUAUUCCUAUAAUUACUAUAUUCUCUGGUUUUUUUAAUUUUAAUUUUUAUGAACACAAAAAUUGGGUGUACGAAAUACAAAAUUGUUUGGUUAUUAAACGCGUUAAAAAGAAAUAUUUAAAACUUUAUUGCAACUGUUCGCGAUAAUAACACUGUUAUAGUAUCUAGUUAGUAGUACAUAUAUUUGUAAACCACAGCCGUUUAGAAUAUAAUAGUUAUAAUAUUUAUUUAUUUAUUUUCGCCCAAUUAGGGCAAUAGGGUGUGCAUGCAAAAAAUACAAUAAGUUAUAAUUUAACUCACAAAAAGAAUUAAUAUAUAUAGAGAAAAAAAAAAUAAUAAUAAUAAAAAAAAUGUGUUAAAUGAC